UUGUGGAGGAGGACGCCGAAGGUGGGGCUAAUGACUGGGGUGAAGUCGUAACAAGGUAGCCGUACCGGAAGGUGCGGCUGGAUCACCUCCUAACAGGGAGACAACAAAAUGUUUAAUAUUAUUAUUUUGUCACCUUAGGUCGAUCGGUAUCUCACGUUCUUACUAUGUUAAGAAUUUCAUUUCCUAAGUUUUUCUAGGUCACACCCAUUAUUUUUCCUGGGCCAUUAGCUCAGGUGGUUAGAGCGCACCCCUGAUAAGGGUGAGGUCCCUGGUUCAAGUCCAGGAUGGCCCAUAUCUCUAUGUUGGGGGUAUAGCUCAGUUGGUAGAGCGCCUGCUUUGCAAGCAGGAUGUCAGCGGUUCGAGUCCGCUUGCCUCCACUGAUUACCACCUCUUCCAUAAUCGGUAGAAAGGAAAUGUUUUGAGUUGUGAUCAUCAUUCUGAACGAAUCUAGCUUCCUAAUAAAAGCAUUAAGAUGCUGGACUCAUUGAAUUAAUUUCAUUGUUUUCAGAGAACCUUGACAACUGCAUAGAUUAUUUUUAAAGAUAAUAAGCAUCUUUAAUGAUGCAGAUUUAUUAUUUGUGCGAAUGCAUUAAUAACAAUUCUAUUAAGCUGAUGCUUCAAUUUUGAAGUUAUUGGUCAAGCUACAA
rnacentral:misc_RNA from 1 species